GCUUCAUACCCCACAGCAGCAAUUUGGUGGGAAAUGGAGCUCCCUGAACCAUAGAAAACUCACAAAGGUAUGUGCACAUCAAGUGUGUGGGAAAAAAAAAGGUAAAUGCAGUCUUGUCCUUUGUUCUGCAGGAAAAUUAAUUCAUGUCCCUUCUGCCGAAACACUACAGCUAGUCAAGUGCUGAAGACACUUAAAACACUGACCUACUUGGAAACUCCACUUGUGAGAAGUGGGACAGCAUUUAAAGAAGCAGAGUAGAUCGAGACUUUUGUCUGAAAUGCAGUUCUGAUCCUUCACAAAUCACACUUUUCUCUGGAACUAAUUUAUACCUGUUAUCCACCUCACUAAAGGGACCAAUCAAGCAGGUUUCCUCUAGAUGAAGAACAUGAUAGUGCUUCUCCACAGCGUCAAUGUCCAAGCAUGACCCAGCACUACCCUUGCUGCUCUCCAGAGGAAGGAAGACCAUGCACACAUCUGGAGGGAAGCUGUGGUGUGCAAACCCAGCCCUGGACAGCUCUGAAACGGGGACAUCAUGAUGCUUCCUAGCAGACUGAAGCAACUCCUGACAAUGAGGACAAAUUCAAUACCACACAUGCAAGCAAUUAAUGCAGGGAUUCCCAGGGCAAAGAGGGAGGUUAAAGAAUUCCAAGCCCAAAAAGAAUUACACAGGGUGAUCUUUUUGCCCGAGCCAGAAGACGGAAAUUUGUAAAGCUUACGCUGGGAGCAAGCAGAGUUGGUUCUAGGAAGAAUUACUCACAAGCUCCAGAACCUGCAGUGGAGCAGUGGAGCAUCUACGUAUCAGUGGGUGAAGAGGUCAUCUGUGUAUAAUGGAGUUAACGAGAGAGAAAUUUUCAGCAAUUCUUCAUAAAACUGAAAUGAAUCACCCUUGGUCUCAACCCAUCUAUUUACUCAUCCCAGCUGGACAGUGGAAGAAAUCUAGAAAAUGGCCAAUGUUGUAGCCAGAGACGUGUCUGUUCUUUCAUGUCCACGGCUACCAGGCUUUUGCCUCUUCUUGCCACCUCCCCCGGCAAACCUAAUUACAGGCAAUUGCAAUUCUGUGCAAUUCUUGCAAGCUGCAACAAGUCAACAAUAGCUUUUCUCCCACUGCCUUUCAAUUAACACAGGCAAACUGCUCUGCUUUGUCUGCUAGCAGUUUAUCUAACAAGCUUGAGCUCGUCUCCCUUAUAAGCAAGUUAUAUCAUACUCCCUUUUCCUUCACUCCAAACAUGUAUUAAUUGUAUUUCUGCCUAAUCAAUCCUUUAGUCACUUGGUAUUUUUAGCAUAUUAGGUAUUGUUAGCAAUGUUUUUCAUCUGUGAAAGGAAGGAGAGCCAAGGUGAGAAGUCAUGCAGCAGCACAUAACAGGAGAGGUAAUGGGGAAGGUCAUCUGGUCCUAAUUCAGCAUCAUUACCACACUUCACCCAGCUCUACCCAACAUCAAGAUACAGCCUCUUUCCCACCCCAAACACAAGCUGGAGCCUCUCCAGUGCACAAGGGUGAGCACCUUCAGCUUUGGAAGAGCCUACGUGCAGAAUUUUCCUUCUCUUACAUGGGAAUGGGACUACAUCGUUUGUUCUGUGCUACAUAUCAAGAUCUGGGUUGAUGCUACAACGCGAUGGCCUCUUACAUACGCCUAUGUGGGAGUUAGUCAUUAUGCAUAUUUUAAGCCUAUUAUCAAAUUUAAUAAUUUGGCUUAUUCAUUAUGAGCCAAGAUAGUUCUUUAGAUGUGGCUUAGAAGCAAGCGCCAAUUAAUGCACCUGCACUACAAGGGGAACCAAAUAUGCCAGCUUCUGCAGAAUUUCAGUUCAUGGCAUUUUUGCACAGGCAAAAAGAAGCAAAGCUUGUAGUUGCUGCUUUUUCCUGGUCCGGCAGCAUACCAUGACUCCAAUGUCAGUUGUUCCUACACGUAUCCAGUUUUGCAUCUAGAUCACAUUAUUAAUUCUGGUUCCAAUACAGAUGACACUUACAUAAUCUACAAAGACUUAGAUACAGCUCAGAAAGAGACAUCCUAAAGUGCUAGAGUGCAACAUAUGGAAACAACUCUGUUUUAAGCACAAAAAAAAAAAAAAAGACUGAUGGCUGUAAUAUAGCUGUGCAAAAGAGUGGUUUAUAUUCCUAGACACCUGUAAGUAAUAUUGUAGGAAUGUGAUAAAGACAUUAAGAAAGAUGGUUAUCACCGAAGCUUUGUCAGUUUUUGCAUUAGAAACAUUUUUAUUAAAAAAAUAUAAAUAAAAAAUGGCAGUCUUUUUUGUUUGUUUGUUUGUUUUGUUUUGUUUGUUUUUUAUUUCAAAAGAUAGUUCUAAUUUAAUUUGCCAGGCAGCCAGCCUUUCGUCCCCAUAGUGAAGAAAUGCAGGGCAGUAAAAUAAUAUUUUCAUUUUAAAGGCCCGUUCUGCUGUGUGUGACAGGACCAUUGCAGCUGUUUGUGUAUCUCAAGGCAGAUUUACAGUAAGAAGUGAUGAACGAAACCGCCAGAUCUGUGGGAGGAGGAGGGCGCAGGGAGGGGAGGUUUUGCCAACAUGCCCUCUCACAAGUGUUUGCGCCUGAAUGAAAUCUGGUGCAGUAGGAGACCAUAUGUGUUUCUGACUUACACUGCUGUAGGUGUCAGCUUACUGGUCCCAGCAAAGGAGUGCUGCUCACAGCCAGCAACAGCUUUUUUUGGUGAAGUUUAUUUAAUACUUAAUGACAGAUUAUAAAAAUACACAAAGUGUGUAGGCAACAGACUAUCAGAGUGAUCCUGAAAUAAGAAGCGUUUUAAAAAUGUCUUUAUGCGUGUAUGCGUUUGCUUCUUGCUACUGAGAGCAGCUCGCUUUCUCCUGAUGAAUCCCUCUCCUCACAGCCACAGGUCCAUUUAUGAAUGGCAAUCCAUACUCGUUACUGCCAGCCGAGCUGUGCCUGCAGCCGCUGUGACCAUUUUGAAGGAGUGAAGUAAGAUAAAGCACACGCUGAAAUAAAUAACUAGCAGCCUGAAAUAUGAGUCGAAAAAUAUAUUGUAUUUAGUCGAAAUUCGAUAAAGGUAGAAGGUUGAUGCCUGACAAAGUAAUCGGAAACUAGAUUAUAACGGAAUCUAGUCAUAAAUAAAGACCUAGAUAUUUUGAAAGUGCAGGUCAGAAUGUUCAAAUUAAUGUAAAUGUCUAUUCAGAUACGUACAUGAAAGGUUUACUUUCAAACCUAAGCUUACAACACUUCAUAUUGAAGCCCUAUACACUUGGAAAGUCAUGGAAGCUGAAGCAGCUGUCAAAAUUAAGCUACUUUUUAAGGCAUCUACGUAUGAAUUUAGCAUCAGCCAACUCUAAAAACAUUGCAAAUCACUAAUAACAGAGAAUAUCCCAGACACUGGAAGACUGCCUGACUGCUUCUGAUUUUACUGGCUGUUAUUUUCAGGAGACAUACAGAAUACUAUAAGGCAGGUCACUCUAAUAUUUACUGUAGCUGCAGGUACAUAUUUCAGCAAGUUUAGGUAUUUUUUAUCACAGGAAGAAUGAGAAGCAAACCAUUUCUCUAGUGUGAACCCUCUACAGAUUUUGAUAGCAAAAUUCCUGCAGUCUUAAAUUUUAGAUCUGGUCAUUCUCACUGCAAGUAACCACUGCUGCUCAGACACCUAAAAAUAAAUACUUUAUGCUGUCAUGCUCUCUGUAAUGUCUUUAACUGUUUCAUUUCUCUCUCUUUUAUUUUUCUGGGAAGUGGUGUGAUUAUAGGAUGUGUGGCCUUAGACUGACAAUUUAUUUACAUCUACUGUAGUUUUGUUUAGGAUUCACUGAGAGCUUUAAUUGUAUGGGCAUGUCAUAAAUACAUGCAGCAGGAAUUAAACUCAGCUCUGGGAAUUAAGUGUUGCCAUCUCCUUCUCUGUGCAACACGAAGGGAAUAACAGCAGUAUAGACCCUGCUACAAUGUCCCUGAGCAGGGACCCUGAGGAGUUUUUCUCUCAUAUGCCCCUGUACCUUGGUAGCCAGUUUGUGCAGGUGGUGAAAUGCUGUGGCCCUGCAGGUUUGCAGCAGGCUUGUGAGACAGGACAGAGCAAUGCUACAGGCACCUGCAACCUCUCCUGGGGUUUGUGGUCCUCCAAAGUCCUCAGAGUUUUCAAGUGGGCUGCAGUGUGACCAGAUUACCUCCUGCGUGAUACGUGGGCCCACCUUUCCCAGCAGUUCAAGAGAGCAAACCCCGUGCUUGAUCCUCAGAUCCCUCCCCUUUAAGGUUUAUGGCUGAGGCUGGCCAAUUUUGUCCUAAUAUUAGGUUCCUCUCCUAAUAUAGGCAAGCCCUGAGGGGAUGAGAAUAAGGCCAUACCACCAGUGAACAAUAAAGCACUGCCUUCAACAUUUCUCCCAUUCCACAUGUGAAGAGGAAUGGGGUGUUCAGAGAUCAAACAACUCAAAAAAAAAAAAAAAGUUUGUUAGCUCCAGCUAACAAGCUUAUUCAUUUGUAAGCAUAAUUUGAAACAGAAGGAAAAUGUCCUGAUGUUGAUCAUAUUACAAAAGGACAAAACUGGCAAGGAAAGAAAAUUAGCGAUAUUACAAAGAACGGGGAGUUAAAAUAAAAACCUAUGGAAUAAUUAUUUUUCACUAAUGCAAGUGCUUUUGGCAUUAGGCUUGUUUGUGUUAAACAUUUCAGUUAAGGAGUCUGAUGUCUCAGUCCUGAGCACAUGGGUAUAGCAGUGACCACUGAUUAGAGCUUGUCUGAGAUGUCAGCCCAUUAGUAAAUUGUUCUUUCUCAUCUGUUCGGCUGUUUUUGAAGUUCUAACGAGACAACAAUAAAAAUAAUCUUUUAUGUUUCCAGAUGCCAUUUACUCUUUGGUAAUUCAAAAAUAACUUCACUACAAUUGUUUUUCUUUGUUGUUGUUGUUUUGUUUUUUUUUUUUUAAUUUUGCUAAGCCAUCACUGGCAUAUGUUAGACUUAAAAACUUACACAGGUUGAUCAUUGCAACCAUUUUCAUGUUUAUGGCCAGGCAAAAAAAAACAGAGGAAUUAAAAAUGUUUUGCAUCCAUGCACACAUAAGAAUGCAUAGAGGAAGAAAACCCUCGAUCCAUUGCUGAAAUUCCCGAAAUCAAUAAUUUGUGAGUGGAGAAGCAUUUGCAUAUUUGAUGUAAUUGUGUAAAUACAACUUCAAAAUAUAAUGUUCUUUGAGUUUUUGUAACAGGGUUAGAUUUUGUUUUCCUCCAUCACUUUCGAACUGAAAUGGCAAAUAUCAAAGUUUGAGCAGAGGAGCAAAGUUAUAAAAUGGUUGAGAACUGCAGCUGUGCAAAGAUAAAAUCUCUUCCAGCAGUGUCUGUACCUCUGUGCCAGAUAAACUCUUCGUAGCUUAAAUCUUCUGUCCUUUGCAUAUAUUUUUACAUUGGAUAAAAGAAAACAAAACAAAACAAAAAAACAACCCUACAUAUUCAGAGGCCUCAACUGACUCCAGUGCCAGAGCUGUUGACAGCAAAGCCAGCACCAUUAACUGUGGGAAGCCACAUCUGAAAGUGGAUUGGUGCUCACUACCUGCAGUGCAUCAUCCCCCAAUUUGCAUAGGAAGCCUGCAUCCAGUAGCUCUGCAUCCCUUACUCUCUGCAAUGCUGCCAGUUAUCACAGAGGUAUCAUAUCCUGGUCAAGUGUUGGCAAGGGUCACUGAUGGCUCAUGAUCUCCUUCACAGGCAGCUGAAGGUCUCACAUCUUUGAUGUUUUGGCAUUGUGCCCCUCUGGCCUUAGCAAGCCAGGCCUGAGGCUUCUACACAUUAGAACUGAAGAUCUCAAAGUCUUACACAUAGACAUUUCACAGUGCCCAGGAGAUGAAUAAUUGCAAUCUUUAUGGUGAUGUUUACUCCUUUCAAGAGACAAACUCUUUUCCAAGUAAGAAAAUGCUUUCCUCUCAAAUAACUAGUGAGAGGACUAGAGGGAAUGGCCUCA